rnacentral:rRNA from 1 species
GAUGAACGCUGGCGGCGUGCCUAAUACAUGCCAGUCGAGCGAACGGACGAGAAGCUUGCUUUUCUGAUGUUAGCGGCGGACGGGUGAGUAACACGUGGAUAACCUACCUAUAAGACUGGGAUAACUUCGGGAAACCGGAGCUAAUACCGGAUAAUAUUUUGAACCGCAUGGUUCAAAAGUGAAAGACGGUCUUGCUGUCACUUAUAGAUGGAUCCGCGCUGCAUUAGCUAGUUGGUAAGGUAACGGCUUACCAAGGCAACGAUGCAUAGCCGACCUGAGAGGGAGACCGGCCAGACGGGAACUGAGACACGGUCCAGACUCCUACGGGAGGCAGCAGUAGGGAAUCUGCCGCAAUGGGCGAAAGCAUGACGGAGCAACGCCGCGGGAGUGAUGAAGGUCUUCGGAUCGUAAAACUCUGUUAUUAGGGAAGAACAAAUGUGUAAGUAACUAUGCACGUCUGGACGGUACCUAAUCAGAAAGCCACGGCUAACUACGUG